rnacentral:tRNA from 1 species
GCCCGAGUGGUGUAAUUGGUAGCCACGAGAGACUUAAAAUUUCUUGCCAUUUAUUGGCGUGUGGGUUCAAGUCCCACCUCGGGCA